AUCUAGCCCCGAUAGAAGUGAAAAUCCUUUUGUAGCGGGGUUCGCAACAAAAGAUUGAAAUGAAUAGCGGGACAAAUG
rnacentral:sRNA from 2 species